AAAAACUGGGAAUUCUAAAGAAGAAUCAGAAGCACGAAGAUCUGACUGGCAGUUUGCUUCUGGCUUGGGGAAGGCAGAGGAGAGAAGGUGGAUUCCCUAAGCUGAGAAGAAGCCUAUUUCUUUGGAGAUCUACUGUCCCUUCUGAACCCCUGAAUACCUUCAAAAAGACUCUGUGACAGCAGUCUGAAGUCUGCAGUGGGAUUGUGGAUUGGAACAUUUGAAGGGAGCCAUCCACAGACCUUUUUCCUAGGAUUUCUCUCUGUCUCUUUCUCCCUUACUUGUCCCUGGACUCAUAUUUUUAAGGUCUAGCUAGUUGAGAGUAGGGACAAGAAGCAGUUGGCAAAAGGGAGAAGACAGGACUGAGAAGACUGUGACCUCUAGACUGGGGCGGAGGGAGGGGGGACCUGCUAGAGGGGACAAUCUAUAGGACUUCCUUGCUUGCCCACUUUCCUACCUGAUAUCCUUGCCACCCCUUCCCUGCUUGAACCCCAAUAAAUUAGCUGACAUUUAAUAUUUAUGUUUGGGCCAGUCUCUAAACAACAUAGUUAAGGGGAUUGAAGAUUUGGGGACGGUCACAUCUCUCCCCAAAAGAGGGUUGACUUCUACAUCCCAGUGAUUCAAGAUUGCCUGAUUCAAGGAACUGACAUCUUUCCUUGGCAGUUGAGUAGUCCUAAUACCCUGAAAGGAGCCGAUAGUUAAUGUCCCUGGGGAAAGCAGAGGCAUAAGAAAUCAUCUUGCCUCUCAAGGAUAGAUUGGUCCUCAGGAGACCUGGGAUCCUCUGAGGGAGGCAUCUUGCCAUCUCACUGAGGCAUUCCCUCUCUAGUAUCCUGUCCUCUAUUUCCCAGAAAACAUCUCAGGAGAGACAUACUCCCUUAUCAAGGGGACAGGACCUGGCUUAUUUCCCCCCAGAAGGAAGGGAGGAGAACAAUCUCUUCACUCUCUCUUACCCCUAUUCCCUCUUUUUCCCAUCAUCACCAUCUCCUCUCUAAUCCCUUCAUUACAUUUGGCACCCCAGUUAGAGAACAAGAAUCCACCACUGGCAGUUAGAAGUGACUGGGGGAGGGGUAGCAAUCUUGUUACACAGAAUUCUGUCAACAGUACUCCAUUUCCUUCAUUACAGUAUGUCCAAUCAGCCCAAUAAGGACUAUUCAGAACAAUAUGAGCCCAGAAGGUUUUACCCUGUUGUGGGCACAGAUAUUCUAUUUGAACAUUUAGGUUAGAGAUGUCUCUAAAUUGGCAUAUCUCAUCUUUUUCCUGAGCUCCUGCUAUUCUACAUUGUUCAUAUAUAGCACAGCCCUUUCUUUGAUACAGGGAUUAAAAUUCAGUUAGAAGGAAACAUAGUCCAAAUGAGAAGAUUGAUAUAUCCGGAGUAAGAAAACCAGGGCUCACUUUCUGAAGCAGCUGUGAAAAUUUCUUAUUGCAAUACCAGCAGUCAGUGAAAAUUUUUGCUAUUAUCAGUAAUUAUUGUCAGCAGAGAGAGAGAUAUCCUGAGCUGCCAUUCAUCUGAGGACUGGAAGAGAGAAAAGAAGGAGGAAGCUAGCAAAUGUGCAGAGAAUUGGAUUAAGCAUAUGAAUUGACCUUGAAAAAGGCAUGGAGAAGUAGGGCAAGAAUCAAGCAAUAUUAAAUAGAAACACUGCAGGUAUAUCAUUAUCCACUUAUGGAAAAAAAUAAUCUCCCCAAGCCAUCUCAAACCUGUUCAUUAGUUAUCUUACCCUACCCUUCCUGUCACCUGAUGAGAUUCUCUCUAAGCAAUGGUAUAAAGGACUAUUCUAUUGCUUCAAUGGUCAGCUUCGAAGGUUUCAAACUUUUCCACCAUCGUCAGCAUCAGAGGUCUUCAGCAACUCCAGCCUCACUCCUGCUUUAGACAGUCAUGGGAACUCAGCUCCACUACUUGUAUCCAGAACUGUAAAGACCAAUAUGUCGGGGGUCAGUCGGUGGGGUUUGUUUCUUUGAUUGCUAGUUCCCGUUCCCCUUUGGCUACUAAUAAUUGGGACAUAAAUAUAGUCAUUUUCCCCCCAAUCCUGAAUCAAGCUGAAUUCUCCCGUAGUCAGUCCUUUCUGGUUUUCCAGGGCUUCAUUGUUUUUCAGGUGCCAAAUAAACUACAUGAGUUUGUGCAGUCUUUUUCUUGCAUACAGCUGUUGAGAAAUUAUAUACCAAAUGGGUAUUACUUAGCAUUCUGGUGGCCGACUAGAGGAGAGGAAUAGAGGAAACAUAUUAAAUGAAUCACCUUCUUGUAGAAGAUGUCUAUUUCUUUAACAUAUAUUUAUUUACCAGGGCUCUGUUAUUUUAUGAAAUAUUGCUUGGGCUGUGAAUAAGCAUUUAUCAGAUCAGCUUUCUACUGAUUUUACCUUUCAGUGAACUGGAAGUUCAUUCCUUUGCGCCAAUUUAUUCAUCUUGUCAGGGACAUUCAUUUUAGAGGAGAGAAAGAGGGGAGAAAGAUGUUGCUGUUUCUAAAGAUUUCAUUCUAGUACACAGAAAAUCAGUUCAUUCUUGGAUCUCCUUCUCUUUGGGCUAUUUUCUCUAAUGGGUCCUCUUGUUUUAUUCCAGCCCUACAAUACUGAAUCCUUAUUUUCAAUGAUGCUCAGGCCCUUAGAGAGUCUUUUGGGGCAAGAUAGAUAGAAUGGUGAUCUCUCCGAUGGUGAUGUGCAGAGCCAGGCAGAGGCAUUUCUUCACCUGCCCACGGCAAGGUUAGAAAAUUGUGCCCAUUCUCUCAAUUUCUGCCAUUUUAAAUGUGCCCCUUUUACAUUACUGUUCACUGGAGGCAGUGAUCCUUCAUGGAAAC